GUCCCUGUAGUGGAAUAGCGUUUUUUCUUUCCUUUUUUUUCUUUUCCGUUGGACUUCUAAUCCAAAGGUCGUGUGUUCGAAUCCCACCUGGGAUG